GUCUUUCUCUCUGCAGUAUAUGAUGAAGUGGAGAGCCGCACUCAAUUUGAUUGACUCUGGUGCCAAUCAAGGGCUGAACCCCGCCAAUGUACAUGCAGUGAGAUUGAGGCACACAGAUUUUUUAGUGUUGCAAUUAAAUUAUUUAUUUAGUUUCGCAGUAGUUUCAUCCAAUUGCCCAAUAUUUAUCUUCAAGGUACAAACAGAAUAUCUAGACCGGACGUUUCGGUCACAUCAGACCUUCAUCAGCGGUAACAUUUUUAUCUGUUCUGAAGGGAAGAAAUGGGUCCUCAGGAUGAAAAUAAAUGUGUCCGCACCUGUUCAGCAAAAUUGCGGAACAGAUGAGGGCCUAUUUUGCGGAUGUGUAAAUAGACCCUUACCUAUACACAUGGCCGAUUGGCAAUAACAUCUUCCAUCAGAUGUCACCGGUUCUUCAGCAGAGCCCGCCCACAAUUCCAAUGGGAUUGAGUAAACGGCUGAUAUAAAUCAGCCUCAUUCCAGUAACAUCCAGGAAUGAACCUUUCUACACCGAUUUGUGACAAACCUACCAAGCAUCCACCACUUAACAUCCAGGCAGAUUCGAGCACCAACAAUCCAGGGUUUUAUUCUGAUCGCCAAAAUUGGGGUCGGGGAGGAAUUGUUUACCCUAAUACGAGGACAAGACAACCAGUAGUCCUCAGGGCUUUUUCGCCUCUCUCUGGAUCUCCACAGCAGUUCUUUCAACCCUACUUGCUAUGUAACCAUCUAGACAGCUCAUCUGCAGAAUUGGUGCCAACCACAAACACUACCGAUAUUGACUACUGGGUAUGACAGAAGGAAGCGACUGCUCCUUCAAUUACCGAAUAUGGACUAACAGAAGGAUGCGGCUGCUCCUUCUCUAAUCAGACAUGGAAUGGCAGAAGGAUGCGGCUGCUCCUUUAACAACCAUGAUUUGUCAAAAGGCCAAAUGGAUGAAUGCAGUGUUGUGGGAAGAACAUCCUAGAGGAAUCCAGGGAGAACUCCACCUACAUGGGUCACACUUCCAACAUUCCAGCUCUUCACUUCUUCAUCAUGUGUGAACGAGGCUUGGAUUUGAAGAAGCAACACACAAGCAUAAACCAAGGUCUGAAGAGCAGAAUCAAGAUUAUCUGCUCCCUUCUAUCUAAAUGAAGAGCAUUUCCUUGUUUGUAUGACAUUAACCACCUUCAUGCAGAAAUAAAAAAAUAUCAUUUAUGGA